UACAUGUUGCAGAGCAACUACGCCUGUGCUCUAGAGCCUGGCAGCCACAAGUCCUGAGCCCACAAGCCAUGACUACUGAAGCCUGAGAGCCCUAGAGCCCGGGUUUCACAUCAAGAGAAGCCACUGCAGUGAGAAGCCUGUGCACCGCAACUGGAGAGUAGCCCCUGCUUGCUGCAACUAGAGAAAGCCCGUGGAGCAAUGAAGACAUAAAUAAAUAAAACCUUGUCCCAAAGAAGGAGAAGGUAAGCAAAAGCUGAGGACAAUUUUGUGGUUCUGUGACAGAUGGCUUCCAGGAGAGGGGGACAGGGCCUGAGGAUGGAAACUUGUUAGCUCAAGGGCUUCUGGUGGUUGGAUUCACCAUAACUCCCCACUCUUCCAAUGCAGAAAUGCUUGUGGGUUUUCCCAGCUUCCUAGAUCACUUCCUGUUUUGAAGCAGGCCGUCUUUCUCUGGACAGUCCAACCUUGGCCUCAGAAGGCAUCUCAGUGGGCUUCAAAGACUUCCCAACUGUCAUCCUUGCUGUAGGAUGCCAAAGAAGCCACCUCCAGCCAGACAGCCUCAUUUCAGCAGGAAAGGUCUCCAACUUUAAGUACUCACAGAUGGCUACUCUAUGGGACAACACGAUCCUAGAACAGUGGUUCUCAGCUCAGGCUGCACAUUUGAAUCCGCUAGAUGUUUGAAAAAGUCUUGAAGAUCUGAUCUCAAGCAAUUUAAAUCCUGGCAUGAGAGGUAAGAGCUCCCGAGCUGAUGGUAACCUGUAGCCAAGAUUGGGGGCUGCUGCUCAGAAAUGGGAGGGACU
ensembl:lncRNA